UAUGUUUGAGGCUCUUUCCAAAUUGCUC
rnacentral:piRNA from 1 species